UGGCGGACGGGUGAGUAGCGCGUGGAAAACCUGCCGUAUACUGGGGGAUAACACUUAGAAAUAGGUGCUAAUACCGCAUAAGCGCACAGCUUCGCAUGAAGCGGUGUGAAAAACUCUGGUGGUAUACGAUGGUUCCGCGUCUGAUUAGCUAGUUGGUGGGGUAAUGGCCUACCAAGGCAACGAUCAGUAGCCGGCCUGAGAGGGUGAACGGCCACAUUGGGACUGAGACACGGCCCAAACUCCUACGGAAGGCAGCAG
rnacentral:rRNA from 1 species